GAUCCGCCGGACCAGGUUUUGGGCGCAUCGUACCGUAGGCGGAGGAACCGAAGAGGGAACUUUGUAUGGCCUGGAGGUUUCGGACGCCCAGAAGUAGGUUUCGGGCGCCCGAAAGUGCUCGUUCCUACAGGACAGCAGGUUUGUAUUCUUUUGUUCCUGGGGCUUAUCAGACCUACUCUUCUCCUUAUAAAAGGCUUGUGUUCGAUCCCUGAGAAGCUUUUUCACCUCUCCUUCACAGUGAAGCCAUAUUUUGCACUCUAGUCCUUCAAAAUACUACAAUUUAUCCAAAUUCUACAAUUUCCACCUUGAGCAUUGCAAUUCCAGCAGAAUUCCAGCAGCGACCUUCGGCGUUUUGGCUCGUGUGCGACGUAGGAAGGUCGGUUUGCUGCGAAACUUAGUUUGGUGGUUAGUAGACUUCUUGGAGAUUUCGUGGAGCCCAUUUUGACAGGAAUUGAUUUAAGUUAGUAUGGUUAAUUUGCUGUUUUUCUGAACUGCUACUGUAUUGGAGCUAAAACUUGGGUUUUUCUUAGUUUUCCUGGUUUAAUCUUUAGAGGAAGCUGGAUUUUCGACCAGAGGUUAUUGCUCCACUUUUCCCUACCGGUUUUGAUAGUGUUCUUCACCUGAAUUGUGGAUUUAAAGUUUGAAAGAUCUUUUGAGAGGAGUGUGCUGGUUCGUGGCUGAGCUUGGCAGGGCUUAUUCCAGCUACUUCCUAACCUUGCUGGACUCGCGCUUGAGACUUAGUGGGUGAGCCGUUGAGGUCGAUAGCGGUACCCACUGAGGACUACUUCUUUUUGCAGUAGUUUUCACACCCAGUUGUGGAUCAUUUUUGCAAAGCCCUCUUCUUCGGCUGCUGCUGUCGUAGAGACUGAUCGUGGAAAGGGAGUCGUGAGCUCGAUCCCUUCCCAGUUGCUGCUAACCUAGAGAUUUAUACCAGCUACAGGUAGUUGUAGUUUUUUGUUCUUAUACAUACUGAUGUUGUACCUUGCUGAAGCGUGUAUUUUUGUAUCAGGAUACUAUGUAUGUAUGUUGA